rnacentral:rRNA from 1 species
CGGCGGACGGGUGAGUAACACGUGGGCAACCUGCCUAUAAGACUGGGAUAACUUCGGGAAACCGGAGCUAAUACCGGAUACGUUCUUUUCUCGCAUGAGAGAAGAUGGAAAGACGGUUUACGCUGUCACUUAUAGAUGGGCCCGCGGCGCAUUAGCUAGUUGGUGAGGUAAUGGCUCACCAAGGCGACGAUGCGUAGCCGACCUGAGAGGGUGAUCGGCCACACUGGGACUGAGACACGGCCCAGACUCCUACGGGAGGCAGCAGUAGGGAAUCUUCCGCAAUGGACGAAAGUCUGACGGAGCAACGCCGCGUGAACGAAGAAGGCCUUCGGGUCGUAAAGUUCUGUUGUUAGGGAAGAACAAGUACCAGAGUAACUGCUGGUACCUUGACGGUACCUAACCAGAAAGCCACGGCUAACUACGUGCCAGCAGCCGCGGUAAUACGUAGGUGGCAAGCGUUGUCCGGAAUUAUUGGGCGUAAAGCGCGCGCAGGUGGUUCCUUAAGUCUGAUGUGAAAGCCCACGGCUCAACCGUGGAGGGUCAUUGGAAACUGGGGAACUUGAGUGCAGAAGAGGAAAGUGGA